CAGACCCAACCGACCGAGGGCAUCCCAUCAUCAAACAUUGCGCCCGUUCCCCAUACUCCUAUCCCCUGCUGUUUCCUCUCCUCUCACCUUAUUUCUUUUUCUGCAACCAACCGAGGGCAGCGGAAGACCUCCAUGGGCGACGUUCAAGCCUCCAUCUCCCUCAGACCCUCACUGGCCGCCGCACGGCACCGCUCCAGAUCUAUCCCUCACCCAAGGAUGGACCGAGGAGAAGUUAAGAUAUCUCACGGACUAGGCGCAGUCCACGCAGCUCCUGCCUCUGCGUACCUCUUACCGCCACUCGGUCUCCGGUGUGGCGGCGUCGCCGUUCUGAGCCCCAGCGCCUCUCCUGCGGAGUAGAAUUGGUCUCUGCCCAUGCCUGUUUUGGCCUUGGCCGCGCCGCCCACCGCAUCUGGCCGGCUCGGCCAGGCCGUCGUGGCAUGUUUGCCGUGCUUGCCCUCACGAAGACCAGCCUCAUCCACUGGCUCCUUGCCUCUCCAUUCACAGGGCUUCGAUGGUAUGGUGCCGUGGCACCUCCGUGUUUCACAAUUGGCCUUGAUGUUUGUUACUUCAGAACUUGCUGUUCAAGAGUUGGAUGCAUGAAGCAGCCAGGCAACACGGUGGUCAUAACAUAAGCUUUCAAAUUGGUAAUGUUUCAGCCACUAAAGCGUGCCUUCCAGGACGGCUUGAUUUUUUUAAGCAGGUGUGGUCCGUUCAGUCCUCACGAAGGUUAUAUCUCUGUCCAGUUUUGGUUUUGUUCAAAUAUCAUGUGGUUGUAUUAAGA